CUCCCAGUGACUGCUGCAUGUUUUAAAGUUUCAGCCUUGUCUGAAGAAUUACCAAUCUGUUGAUGAUACCCAUACACAUGUUCUGAGGGAG
rnacentral:snoRNA from 1 species